UGGAAAAUGAGACGUCAAAGGAUCGUUUUUGUUUUUCUCCAAACUUCUACAAUAUGACUCGGAUUUAAAGCAAAAAGACGUGGCCAAGAGGCUCCACUGAGAACUCCCCCACAAACACAGCAACCGGGGAACACGGACCAUAAAUAUCAUUGUUCAUCAUUCAUUCAUCAUUAAUGGUUAUCAUUUUCCCCUUAACAUCGACA